GAUGAACGCUGGCGGCAGGCCUAACACAUGCAAGUCGAGCGCUCACCUUCGGGUGGGAGCGGCGCACGGGUGAGUAACACGUGGGAACCUACCUUGAAGUACGGAAUAACUGAGGGAAACUUCAGCUAAUACCGUAUACGCCCUACGGGGGAAAGAUUUAUCGCUUCAAGACGGGCCCGCGUUGGAUUAGCUAGUUGGUGAGGUAAUGGCUCACCAAGGCAACGAUCCAUAGCUGAUUUGAGAGAAUGAUCAGCCACACUGGGACUGAGACACGGCCCAGACUCCUACGGGAGGCAGCAGUGGGGAAUAUUGGACAAUGGGCGCAAGCCUGAUCCAGCCAUGCCGCGUGAGUGAUGAAGGCCUUCGGGUUGUAAAGUUCUUUCAGAUGGGACGAUGAUGACGGUACCAUCAGAAGAAGCCCCGGCUAACUUCGUGCCAGCAGCCGCCGUAAAAC
rnacentral:rRNA from 1 species